CUGGCGGAGAGCGUCGGGCGGGUGGGGUUGCUUGCCGCGCUGCUGGUGGCGUUUCCCGACGCGCUGCCGUUCGGGUCGCUGCUGCCGGG
rnacentral:tRNA from 1 species